rnacentral:rRNA from 1 species
UACGUAGGGUCCGAGCGUUGUCCGGAAUUACUGGGCGUAAAGAGCUCGUAGGCGGCUUGUCGCGUCGACUGUGAAAUCCCGCGGCUCAACUGCGGGUCUGCAGUCGAUACGGGCAGGCUAGAGUUCGGUAGGGGAGACUGGAAUUCCUGGUGUAGCGGUGAAAUGUGCAGAUAUCAGGAGGAACACCGGUGGCGAAGGCGGGUCUCUGGGGCCGAUACUGACGCUGAGGAGCGAAAGCGUGGGGAGCGAACAGG